rnacentral:misc_RNA from 1 species
UCUCCGUUGGUGAACCAGCGGAGGGAUCAUUACAGAGUUUUCACAACUCCCAACCCUUGCGAACCGUACCCAUUCUGUUCUCGUUGCUUCCGGCGGGGGGGAGGGGGGGGCCCGAAACGGCCUCCCCGCCCCGCCCGCCGGGGGCGGCGGGCCCUACGAACCUUUAUAUCUCAACCACUAGAAACCGUCUGAGAAAACAAACAAAAUAAUCAAAACUUUCAACAACGGAUCUCUUGGCUCUG